rfam:Gossypium hirsutum cultivar TM-1 chromosome 9, whole genome shotgun sequence
UGUUAAAAAUUUUAUCCAUUUUUAUUGUUAAAAACUAGUGUGAUUAACGGAAUAACUAGACAAUUAAACAUGAGCGUGCCAUGUAUAUCUUAUUUUGACGUACAAUGACUAGUUUUUAACGGUAAAAAUUGAUGAAAUUUUUAAUA